rnacentral:lncRNA from 1 species
AUAUGUAUACUUUUUCAUAUUCUUUUCCACUAUAAGUUACUAUGAGAUACUGAGUAUAGUUCCCUGUGCUGUACAGUAUGUCCUUGUUGUUUACUAUUUUAUAAAUAGUAGUAUGCGUAUGUUCAUCCCAAACUCCUAAUCAUUCUGCCACUAUCCCUUUGGUAACUGUUAUUAUGACUAUUUUCGUUUUGUAAAUAAGGUCAAUUUUAUCAUUUUACACACAUAUAAGUGAUACCAUAUGAUAUUGGUCAUUUACUGACUUCAAUUACUUCAAUUCCUAUGAUAAUCUCUAGGUUGAUGCAUGUUGCUGAAAAUGGAAUAAUUUGGUUUUUCGGGCUGAGCAAUAUUCCGCUGUGGACAUGCGCACACACACCACAUUUUCUUUAUCCAUGCAUCUGUAUCGACAUUUAGGUUGCUUCCAUGUCUUGGCCGUUAGAAAUAGUGCUGCUAUGAACACUGGGGUACAUGUAUCUUUUCAAAUUAGUUUUUUCCAGAUAUAGAUCCAGAAGUGGGUUUGCUGCAUCGUAAGGUAAGUCUACUGUUCUCCAUAGGGCCUGCACCAAUUUAUAUUCCUACCAAGAGUGCGGGAGGGUCCCUUUUUCUCCAUACCUUCUCCAGCAUUUGCUAUUUCAUUUGCAGAGUUUUUAACGAUGGCCUUUCUGACGGGUGCGAGGUGAUACCUUUGGAUUUCUCUAAUGAUUAGCGAUACUGAGCAUCUGUUCAUGUUCCUGUUGACCAUCAGUGUGUCUUCUUUGGAGCAAUAUUUAGGACAUCCGCUCAUUUUUAAAAAAUGACCUGGAAGAGAAAGGAAAACCAAUAAUGCAGGAAAGGGGGGAGAAACUGCUUGUUUUAGCAGCAGAGUUGGUACCAACAAUGUAAGUGGACAGACUGACUUGAAGCACAGAAUUCACCCACAGGAACUGGCAGGAAGGCAACGUGCGUCACUGCGAACGCUGCCAGGUAGGUAGUAGUGAUAACUCAGGGAAACAAACCCACCUGUUCAAAAAAUACUUACCGUUACCUACCUAUUCUGCUUCCAGGGAUUCAAUGAUGACUCAACACACACAGGUUAUCAAACACAGGGAUAAGACAGAAACACCAACCACAAAGGACAGAGGGGCUCGAGGAUCUGGAAGUGUGGCUGGGAUGGGACGCUGGCACAAGAUGAUCUCCUUCAUGGUUUAAAUGACUUCUGAGCUGUCAGUUACGUCGCUGCUGGAGGAGACCUGAAUGUCGGCCUCCUACACAGAAAUAAUUUUGGUCAGCAAGCACCAUCAAUAACAUUGUUAUCAACACGUGACAUCAGGUCCUGAAGAAGAUGGCGGAGUAGCAGGAUGUGAAGCUCACCUACUCCCACAAACACACUGAGGAUGCAUCUACCUGUGCCAUGAUUCACAGAAAACCUGCUGAAUUCUGGCAAAUCUUUCAGGAUUCUGAAAGAGCAAGAAAAUCUUCAUGAAGAAAAAAGGUAUGAGAAAAGAAAGAAGAUGAGAAAGGAAGCAGAAUGGGACCUGCACUCCAAGGAAGCAGCUGUAAAGAAAGGUCCAGGACCCUGAGAAGUUGCCCCACCGGCGAGGAAAUCAGCCAGGUCAGAGGAGAAACUCUCUAGAGUCUUGGAGGAGAACACAGCAGUCAGCGUGAAAAAGCAGGUAAAAUGGAACCAGUCCUCCACAGUCAGUGCUACCGCCCUGUGCUUCCUGACCAUCUGCUCACACCGUGUGGGUUGGGAACUGAAACUCAGGCUUUGGACAUCAGAAUCAGAGAGAGGUGGGGCUGGCUACAUGGGGAAAAAUGAGUUAGCCACAUGGAAACAGCCUGGAGGGACCAGAAAAUCUGUUUUAAAAAUCUGUUCCCAUAGAUCACUCAAAAGACCCCCCCCAAAAAUAAGUAAAAAUUAAAAAAUAAAAAGGAGUUCUCAUCAUGGUGCAGCAGAAAUGACUCUGACUAGGAACCAUGAGGUUGCGGGUCUGAUCCCCGGCCUCACUCAGUGGGUGAAGGAUACCGCAUUGCCAUGAGUUGUGUAGGUCACAGACUCAGCUGUAGUUUGGAUUGGACCCCUAGCCUGGGAACCUCCACAUGCCAUGGGUGCGGCCCUAAAAAGCAAAAAGCAAAAAGCAAAAAAAAAAAAAAAAAA